rnacentral:rRNA from 1 species
AGUCAGAGGCGAUGAAGGACGUGCUAAUCUGCGAUAAGCGUCGGUAAGGUGAUAUGAACCGUUAUAACCGGCGAUUUCCGAAUGGGGAAACCCAGUGUGUUUCGACACACUAUCAUUAACUGAAUCCAUAGGUUAAUGAGGCGAACCGGGGGAACUGAAACAUCUAAGUACCCCGAGGAAAAGAAAUCAACCGAGAUUCCCCCAGUAGCGGCGAGCGAACGGGGAGCAGCCCAGAGCCUGAAUCAGUGUGUGUGUUAGUGGAAGCGUCUGGAAAGACGCGCGAUACAGGGUGACAGCCCCGUACACAAAAAUGCACAUGCUGUGAGCUCGAUGAGUAGGGCGGGACACGUGGUAUCCUGUCUGAAUAUGGGGGGACCAUCCUCCAAGGCUAAAUACUCCUGACUGACCGAUAGUGAACCAGUACCGUGAGGGAAAGGCGAAAAGAACCCCGGCGAGGGGAGUGAAAAAGAACCUGAAACCGUGUACGUACAAGCAGUGGGAGCACGCUUAGGCGUGUGACUGCGUACCUUUUGUAUAAUGGGUCAGCGACUUAUAUUCUGUAGCAAGGUUAACCGAAUAGGGGAGCCGAAGGGAAACCGAGUCUUAACUGGGCGUUAAGUUGCAGGGUAUAGACCCGAAACCCGGUGAUCUAGCCAUGGGCAGGUUGAAGGUUGGGUAACACUAACUGGAGGACCGAACCGACUAAUGUUGAAAAAUUAGCGGAUGACUUGUGGCUGGGGGUGAAAGGCCAAUCAAACCGGGAGAUAGCUGGUUCUCCCCGAAAGCUAUUUAGGUAGCGCCUCGUGAAUUCAUCUCCGGGGGUAGAGCACUGUUUCGGCAAGGGGGUCAUCCCGACUUACCAACCCGAUGCAAACUGCGAAUACCGGAGAAUGUUAUCACGGGAGACACACGGCGGGUGCUAACGUCCGUCGUGAAGAGGGAAACAACCCAGACCGCCAGCUAAGGUCCCAAAGUCAUGGUUAAGUGGGAAACGAUGUGGGAAGGCCCAGACAGCCAGGAUGUUGGCUUAGAAGCAGCCAUCAUUUAAAGAAAGCGUAAUAGCUCACUGGUCGAGUCGGCCUGCGCGGAAGAUGUAACGGGGCUAAACCAUGCACCGAAGCUGCGGCAGCGACACUGUGUGUUGUUGGGUAGGGGAGCGUUCUGUAAGCCUGUGAAGGUGUACUGUGAGGUAUGCUGGAGGUAUCAGAAGUGCGAAUGCUGACAUAAGUAACGAUAAAGCGGGUGAAAAGCCCGCUCGCCGGAAGACCAAGGGUUCCUGUCCAACGUUAAUCGGGGCAGGGUGAGUCGACCCCUAAGGCGAGGCCGAAAGGCGUAGUCGAUGGGAAACAGGUUAAUAUUCCUGUACUUGGUGUUACUGCGAAGGGGGGACGGAGAAGGCUAUGUUGGCCGGGCGACGGUUGUCCCGGUUUAAGCGUGUAGGCUGGUUUUCCAGGCAAAUCCGGAAAAUCAAGGCUGAGGCGUGAUGACGAGGCACUACGGUGCUGAAGCAACAAAUGCCCUGCUUCCAGGAAAAGCCUCUAAGCAUCAGGUAACAUCAAAUCGUACCCCAAACCGACACAGGUGGUCAGGUAGAGAAUACCAAGGCGCUUGAGAGAACUCGGGUGAAGGAACUAGGCAAAAUGGUGCCGUAACUUCGGGAGAAGGCACGCUGAUAUGUAGGUGAAGUCCCUCGCGGAUGGAGCUGAAAUCAGUCGAAGAUACCAGCUGGCUGCAACUGUUUAUUAAAAACACAGCACUGUGCAAACACGAAAGUGGACGUAUACGGUGUGACGCCUGCCCGGUGCCGGAAGGUUAAUUGAUGGGGUUAGCCGCAAGGCGAAGCUCUUGAUCGAAGCCCCGGUAAACGGCGGCCGUAACUAUAACGGUCCUAAGGUAGCGAAAUUCCUUGUCGGGUAAGUUCCGACCUGCACGAAUGGCGUAAUGAUGGCCAGGCUGUCUCCACCCGAGACUCAGUGAAAUUGAACUCGCUGUGAAGAUGCAGUGUACCCGCGGCAAGACGGAAAGACCCCGUGAACCUUUACUAUAGCUUGACACUGAACAUUGAGCCUUGAUGUGUAGGAUAGGUGGGAGGCUUUGAAGUGUGGACGCCAGUCUGCAUGGAGCCGACCUUGAAAUACCACCCUUUAAUGUUUGAUGUUCUAACGUUGACCCGUAAUCCGGGUUGCGGACAGUGUCUGGUGGGUAGUUUGACUGGGGCGGUCUCCUCCUAAAGAGUAACGGAGGAGCACGAAGGUUGGCUAAUCCUGGUCGGACAUCAGGAGGUUAGUGCAAUGGCAUAAGCCAGCUUGACUGCGAGCGUGACGGCGCGAGCAGGUGCGAAAGCAGGUCAUAGUGAUCCGGUGGUUCUGAAUGGAAGGGCCAUCGCUCAACGGAUAAAAGGUACUCCGGGGAUAACAGGCUGAUACCGCCCAAGAGUUCAUAUCGACGGCGGUGUUUGGCACCUCGAUGUCGGCUCAUCACAUCCUGGGGCUGAAGUAGGUCCCAAGGGUAUGGCUGUUCGCCAUUUAAAGUGGUACGCGAGCUGGGUUUAGAACGUCGUGAGACAGUUCGGUCCCUAUCUGCCGUGGGCGCUGGAGAACUGAGGGGGGCUGCUCCUAGUACGAGAGGACCGGAGUGGACGCAUCACUGGUGUUCGGGUUGUCAUGCCAAUGGCACUGCCCGGUAGCUAAAUGCGGAAGAGAUAAGUGCUGAAAGCAUCUAAGCACGAAACUUGCCCCGAGAUGAGUUCUCCCUGAC